rnacentral:lncRNA from 1 species
UCAGAACUCGUGAUUAGAGGAUAUCUUCUUCCAUCAGUGUGGCUGUAUAAGUGUGAUCUAGGGUCUAUGCCUGUGGGUUGUUUUUUUUUUUUUUUUUUUUUUUUUUUUUUUUUUUUACUUACAAGACUUUUUUUUACCCAUAGGAAUUGCCUGCUGUUAUUAUUUGGAGAAAACAAAUUGGAGAUUUCUCCUUGGUGCUUAGAUAGCAGCAGAGAUGCUUGGAGAUCCCUAUAUAUUGAACAGAGGAGUUGGACAAUAGAGUCAAAUUGAAGGAAGCAAGCAACAUGCUGAGCAUUCACCAUUGGUGGAGAAGACUGAAAUUCCCAUGUGUGGAAGAGAAUGUGAAAAGAAGUGAGGGGAAGAGGAAAAAUAGAAAACGAAGAAGGUUCUGAUGUUUAGCUUCCUUCCUGCCUUAAGUUUCAACUGGAAGACUUGCAGUUAAUGGUCAAAGGCUGCUGUUUGGCUCGGCUACCUUGGCAAUGUGCUCAAGUAGAAGGACUGGAUCUUUCUUGCAAGGCAGGAGAAGUGUUGGUAACCCUUUCUGAGGGGUGCUAGGGCACGGUUUAAUUUGCUUGGGGACAUCCACAGAGAGCUCCCAGACUCAGAUCUGUUGGAGGAGCUGGCUUGGGUUUCAUGCCAUUGCUGCUGGAGGCAGCAGCUGAGCAGUCAAUGGCAUAAGCCCAGAAUGGGCAUAACAAUGCAGAGGGUAAUAGAAAGCUGCCCUGGGAGGGGGAGACAAGGGAAUUAGGGAGGAAAGCUAGCAAAGAGGUGAAAAAGUCAUCAUACCGAGAUGCUGCUACAAAAUCACUGGUAGUCUGCUAUGUAUACUGCUCAGUGACAGGCUGCAGCUCUGUUCGUCCUCAGCCUCCUCCUUCCCUUCAAAUCCCGCCUCUCACUUCAGAGGAUGGUCUGAUGUUUCUGCAUUAAGUAUUUCAGAACAUGAGUAUUUGCAAGCAAGCUGCGGAUUAAAUGAGUAGCCUGACCUCAGGUUGCAAGUUGGAUAGCCAAGCUAGGCUGGGGUUGGGCCUUUCUAGUCCCUGCUGCUGGGCAUGGAUGACUGCAGCAAGGAUAACCAGUUUAUGGGGUGAGAGAGAGAAAGGAGAGCGAGGCAGAGCCUGCUUUUGUGACCUGCUGUGAAUUAGGUUCUUCUGGGAGUGAUGGGAAUCCUGAAUUCCACUCCUGAUUCAGAGAAUGUUUAUGCACUUUGCAUUAAGGUGUUUUUGAAUAACAGCAUUCAAAAGCAGGAUCCAGACCCUAGGACCCUUUUUUC